rnacentral:rRNA from 1 species
UAGAGUUUGAUCCAUGGCUCAGAGCGAACGCUGGCGGCAGGCUUAACACAUGCAAGUCGAACGGGCGUAGCAAUACGUCAGUGGCAGACGGGUGAGUAACGCGUGGGAACGUACCUUUUGGUUCGGAACAACACAGGGAAACUUGUGCUAAUACCGGAUAAGCCCUUACGGGGAAAGAUUUAUCGCCGAAAGAUCGGCCCGCGUCUGAUUAGCUAGUUGGUGAGGUAAUGGCUCACCAAGGCGACGAUCAGUAGCUGGUCUGAGAGGAUGAUCAGCCACAUUGGGACUGAGACACGGCCCAAACUCCUACGGGAGGCAGCAGUGGGGAAUAUUGGACAAUGGGGGCAACCCUGAUCCAGCCAUGCCGCNUGAGUGAUGAAGGCCCUAGGGUUGUAAAGCUCUUUUGUGCGGGAAGAUAAUGACGGUACCGCAAGAA